GAUGAACGCUGGCGGCGUGCCUAAUACAUGCAAGUCGAGCGAACAGAUGCGGUGCUUGCGCCUCUGACGUUACCGACGGACGGGUGAGUCACACGUGGAUUACCUACCUCUAUGACUUGGAUACCUUCGAGAAACCGUAGCUAAUACCGCAUCAUCUAUUGAACCGCAUGGUUCAGUAGUGAAAUACGGUUUUGCUUUCACUUGUGGCUUGUUCCCCGCCGCGUUAGAUAGUUGGUAAGGUAACGGCCUACCAAGGCAACGAUGCGUAGCCGACCUGAGCGGGGGAUAGGCCACACGGGAAGUGAAACGCGGACCAGGGGACUAAGGGAGGCAGCAGACGGGAAUGGGACGCAGUAGGGGAGAGCCUGACGCAGUAGCGGCGCGUGAGUGAUGACGGUGUUCGGUGCGUAAAACUCGGUUAUGAGGGAAGAACAAAUGUGUAAGUAGAUAUACCGGUCGUGACGGUACCUAAAGAGAAAGCCACGGCUAACUACGUG
rnacentral:rRNA from 1 species